ensembl:lncRNA
UCUAAUAAUAAGUUUUUAUUGUUUUAUUGGCAAAUCUAUGUCUCAGGCAUAGUGCUGAAUAUACUGAAUUUUCACCCUUAUUUUUUUUUUAGGCCGUGCCACGCGGCAUAUGGGCUCCAGUCCCCCGACCAGGAAUCGAACCUGUGCCCCCUGAAGUGGCAGCGGGGAGCGCACUAGACCGCCACUCGAUUUUCUCCCUUAGUGAAGAAAUUCGCGCGUACUCCAGGAGCGCGCGUGUGCGACUGGGAUUUGAGGACGUCCUCUGAGGCAGGAGGUAUCUCAAUCCUGCGGAGACACCGCCCGCCCAGAGAGGGCGCUGUGACUCAACUCAGCCGCCUCCAGGGGACAGAGACGCAGGAUCGCGCCCGGAGCCUUCUGGGACUUGUAGUUCUUGGCCUCGUGGUGCGCAAGCGCACUGCUGAGUCCGUUGUGGGCGCGCGUCCCCGGGCGACAACGGCGGUGCGCGAAGGAGAGUUAGAGAAGUCGGGCAGCUUGCACCUACCUUGUGAAACAGUCCAGCACCUGCCCUGUGAAAAUACCCCUGCACGACAGGUCCGUGGGGCAAACUCGGCUGUGAGCCCUACCUGCCCAGGAACCUGCUUU